GACGAACCGUGCGAACGUUGUUCGGAAUCACUGGGCUUAAAGGGUGCGUAGGCGGGCGAUCAAGUCAGGGGUGAAAUCCUCCAGCUUAACUGGAGAACUGCCUUUGAUACUGGUCAUCUUGAGUGAGGUAGGGGCGUGCGAAACUGAUGGUGGAGCGGUGAAAUGUGUUGAUAUCAUCAGGAACUCCGGUGGCGAAAGCGGCGCGCUGGACCUUUACUGACGCUGAGGCACGAAAGCCAGGGGAGCGAACGGG
rnacentral:rRNA from 1 species